rnacentral:piRNA from 1 species
UGAAGGAAAGGAAAAGAAAGUACAGAC